rnacentral:rRNA from 1 species
AUCAAUAAGCGGAGGAAAAGAAACCAACAGGGAUUGCCUCAGUAACGGCGAGUGAAGCGGCAAAAGCUCAAAUUUGAAAUCCCCCCGGGGAGUUGUAAUUUGAAGAUUGCGUCUUGGAGGCGACCGUGUCUAUGUUCCUUGGAACAGGACGUCACAGAGGGUGAGAAUCCCGUGCGGCACGGCCCCCGGCUCCUUAUAAGGCGCUCUCGACGAGUCGAGUUGUUUGGGAAUGCAGCUCAAAGUGGGUGGUAAAUUCCAUCUAAAGCUAAAUACAGGCGAGAGACCGAUAGCGAACAAGUACAGUGAUGGAAAGAUGAAAAGCACUUUGAAAAGAGAGUGAAACAGCACGUGAAAUUGUUGAAAGGGAAGGGCAUGCCGUCAGAUUGUCAGUGUGGGUAAGAAGCGGGGUACAAAGACUGUGGAACGUGGCCCUCGGGUGUUAUAGCCGCAGUUCAUGCCCCGUCUCUUUCCGAGGCCUGUUGAGGA